GACUGGCAUGCACCUGUGACUUACAUAAACCAGACCUCUACAUAGCCUACAUGUCUUCAUUUUGCUGGAGACUGCCCAUCAUCCUAGCCUGUUAUCUGUGAUAAAGCACACUGAAGUUAGGUUUGGAAUGCAUCCUUAUCAUGAAUGCUCUACACCUCCACCUCCAUCUCCCACAACCUAGGUAACAGCUUUGAGACUCACUAAAAGUUGAACCCCCUGAAUGAUGUAGGCUAUGGGGCCACAUAAGACUUUGUCCAUCCAGGGUUACGAUGAAUGUAAAAUAUAAACUAAAGAACCAACAUUUUUCACACAACUCCAGGUUGUUACUACAAGUGUCAUCAAGGGAUAACUACUACAAGUAGAAGCACCAUUUUUGGAUGGAAAAAACCCUUCAGGAAAGUAUACCCCGUAUCACAUGUAACAUGUAG